UGAUCAUGUUUUAGCAAUCCAUUCGAAAGACUUGAAAGAUGAAAUUGUUGAAGCAUACAUUACAUUACCUAAAAGAUGCUUUAAAGUAUGCAUGUAAAGAGAUAACCCGUCAGUGCUGAUAAUUAGAGACACCUAACAAACAAUCCAAGCCAUUCACACCCAUCCGAGGCCACUGAAAGAGGCGUCUUAAUCCCAAGAACCACCAACAAGACAUCUGUCCUUCAAAUAUAUGAUGGUUUGAGGAUGGAGAGGGUUUUGAAGUGAAAUCAAAUUUUCAAUAUUCAAGUUUGCUUCAUGCCGCACCCAACACUCAUUUUCCGAAUGCAACGAUGUUAUUGAUUCGCGGUUAGUUCUUUAAAAAAACUUAUGGUUUCGAGCUUUUCAAAUAAACUAAAUAAUCCGCAGAUAAAGAUUGUUGUCGUCUUCUAAAAUCCUCAAUUUUUUUUUUCCGCUAGAAUAGGAAAGAACUUGGGUGAAGGAGUGGAAGCCAAACACACAUAUUUGUAAUGCAAGAUAGAAUUUAAAUAUACUAUGGUUUAGAAAUUUUUACAUGUGCUCCACAUAAACAGAACCGGUCCUGGGCAAAACUUAACGAAACAUUGGCAUUAGACCCCCAAAAAUUUUGGAAAAAAUUACAUAGAAAAAAAAUCCCAAAAUUUUUUUUAAGCCUCUUUACCAAAAAAAAAAAUUAUAACUGGAAUUUUUUAAAAACCACCUACAAUCCCCUAAAUCUCAGGGCCGGCCCUGCACAUAAACAGUGAUUAUCAAAUUUCUCUCUUUUUUUAAUCAAAGAUAUCUCAGACUUUUAUGUUUGAGAUAUUUUGAACCAUAUAGAUCAUGCACAUAAAUAUGAUAAGAUUUCUUUUUAACACCGGAUAACACAUUUCAUGAUAAUUAAAUCUCUAAUUCUAUUACAUAUGAUCAGUUACCUGUAACACAUCUUUGAUAGACAUGAUCUCUCUGCAGCAACAAACGACUAUAACGAACAGCUUUGUUUACGGUACUCUGAAACCUGCUAUGCAUUUACAUCUUUAUAAAUAAAGUUGGCUUGAGUCUCUCCUCAUGCGUCGAGAUAGGGGUUUUUUGUGACACGUGGAUUCCUAAAAAUGAGAAAGCCUCUUUCUUUUUUUCGAUCAACAUGAGAAUGCGUCUUUGAGCUUUGGUUGGACUUUUUGACACACUUUAGGGUUGGGCUUUUGCAUAGCCCAUUGAAAAUCAAGGUUCUUCUUCGUCUUCUCACGUUUCUCCUUCUAUGGCAAAUUUUAAAACGUUUUGAUCAUCUCUCCCUAAUCACCUUGCAUUUAAAACGUCCUUAGAUCCGAACUUUAAUAUGAAACAAAAGUACAGUCCUUUUACUCUGUUCCAAUUUCAGACCUUCUGGUUUUCUGCUAAUUUUUUCAUCCCCUCAUGCCAAAUUCUCCGAGUUGAAAGCCGGCAACUACAAACAAAUGGUUCAGACAAGACUCCUUUGAUCCUGGGAAGCCCGUACUCAUCGGCGUUUAUAUGCUCCUCCUUGAUCCAAAGGCAAUCGAUUUCACACACCAACCAUUUUCGGCAGACCCUACAGGACUGAGUUUCUUACAAUUAUGGCAGAAACAGACAUGUCAAUGAAGCAUUGAUUUAGUUGGAAGAUAAACUGACGCUAGCCAAAUCAGAAUUACUUGCUAGCAAAAGAUCAGUGCAAAGAGAUCUCCGGUUUAGAUUAUCCAAGCAUCAUAGCUUUGUGUUUUGGGUUUGGAUUCCUGAGGCGAAAGGGGUUGUUCGUGUGUAUUUAAGAGAUUGAUAUCAUCUAUAAACUUAAAAGAUAAGAUGAUACUAUCCGAAGAGUUUUUGCUGGUGCAGUUGUCAACCAAUGAACGGUAUCCAAGUUCUCAAGAAAGUUAAGGAAAAGAUAAAGAAGAUAAAUAAUGUUCUUACUAAACAUAGACAUGGUCAUGGUCAUGAGCAUGAUCGUGGAGAACAACACAUCCCCGACGACCACGAUCUAGACGACAAAGAUGCUGAAGAGUAUGACGUAGGCCAAAUUUACCAACAAGGCCACGGUGGUGCACCAGGUAUGUCCAUUCCUUACCUUACUUCACUUUCUCUACCAGUUACCUUUUGGUAUCUACGGUUUAUUGGAUUUGUGUCGAGGAAAAGCUUUUCAUGUCAUGGAAACUUCCCACACUAAAGUCUCUGAGCCAAUUAAAGCAGUGGAACCAGUACGAGGCCCCAAUACCUCUCACGGACACGAAGCUCUGCCUCAUCAUGCAAGACCCUUAGGUGCUCUCUCUGACAGAAGAUGUCACUAGAACGUUUGUUCCUGGUGAAAAACUUAGAGUCAACAUCGAGAGAGACAGAGGAAUGGAGGAAGGGAUGACUGCUCAGGUCUUUGUGGGAUGUCGAAUUAUCAUUCCAAAGUCACUUUUCACAUCGGAAAAAUUGGAGCAGCACAGCUCUUGCAAAGAGGAAAGGAACAUGUGAUGAUGUUCAACUACUCCUGGAAGAGAGAGGGGAUACAAUACAAGAAGAACCAAGUGAGUGCUUUUUUUUAUAGAUUACUUAGACGGACUUGGCUGAAGCUAUUGGUGCUUCCCUCCUUCAGGUCAAUAGGUGGUUACAUGUCUACGGACAUGUUGAAAAGUGUGUACGCAUUUCUGACUGUGAUAUCUUUGGGAUCGUACGAACUUUCUCUUUAUGUUUUCGUACCCACGAAAACAUUUUUUUUUCUACAUGGUUGAUUGGGCAAGUAAAUGUAGAAUAGUGCAGAAAGAAUAGGAAAAUAUGAAUAAUAUUUUAGUGAUUGUAAAUCCUCUUUUUUUUUUUUAAUUUAUCUC